CCUACGGGAGGCAGCAGUGGGGAAUCUUGCGCAAUGGGCGAAAGCCUGACGCAGCAACGCCGCGUGCGGGAAGAAGGCCUUCGGGUUGUAAACCGCUUUCAGAAGGAACGAAAAUGACGGUACUUUCAGAAGAAGGUGCGGCCAACUACGUGCCAGCAGCCGCGGUGACACGUAGGCACCAAGCGUUGUCCGGAUUUAUUGGGCGUAAAGAGCUCGUAGGCGGUUCGGUAAGUCAGAUGUGAAAACUUUGGGCUCAACCCAAAGCCUGCAUCUGAUACUGCUGUGACUUGAGUUCGGUAGGGGAGUGGGGAAUUCCUAGUGUAGCGGUGAAAUGCGCAGAUAUUAGGAGGAACACCGGUGGCGAAGGCGCCACUCUGGGCCGAAACUGACGCUGAGGAGCGAAAGCGUGGGUAGCAAACAGGAUUAGAUACCCUGGUAGUCCACGCCGUAAACGUUGGGCACUAGGUGUGGGUUCCAACCACGGAAUCCGCGCCGUCGCUAACGCAUUAAGUGCCCCGCCUGGGGAGUACGGUCGCAAGCUAAACUCAAAGGAUUG
rnacentral:rRNA from 1 species